rnacentral:piRNA from 1 species
UGACAUGCACGGUGUCAGAGGGAAGC